GACGAACGCUGGCGGCGUGCUUAACACAUGCAAGUCGAACGGAAAGGCCCUUCUUUUGUGGGGUGCUCGAGUGGCGAACGGGUGAGUAACACGUGAGUAACCUGCCCUUGACUUUGGUAUAACUUCAGGAAACUGGGGCUAAUACCGGAUAGGAGCUCCUGCUGCAUGGUGGGGGUUGGAAAGUUUCGGCGGUUGGGGAUGGACUCGCGGCUUAUCAGCUUGUUGGUGGGGUAGUGGCUUACCAAGGCUUUGACGGAUAGCCGGCCUGAGAGGGUGACCGGCCACAUUGGGACUGAGAUACGGCCCAGACUCCUACGGGAGGCAGCAGUGGGGAAUAUUGCACAAUGGGCGGAAGCCUGAGGCAGCAACGCCGCGUGCGGGAUGACGGCCUUCGGGUUGUAAACCGCUUUCGCCUGUGACGAAGCGUGAGUGACGGUAAUGGGUAAAGAAGCACCGGCUAACUACGUG
rnacentral:rRNA from 1 species